CCUACGGGCGACAGCAGUGGGGAAUAUUGCACAAUGGGGGAAACCCUGAUGCAGCAACGCCGCGUGAGUGAAGAAGUAUUUCGGUAUGUAAAGCUCUAUCAGCAGGGAAGAAGAAAGACGGUACCUGACUAAGAAGCUCCGGCUAACUACGUGCCAGCAGCCGCGGUAAUACGUAGGGGGCAAGCGUUAUCCGGAUUUACUGGGUGUAAAGGGAGCGUAGACGGCUGUGCAAGUCUGAAGUGAAAGCCCGUGGCUCAACCGCGGAACUGCUUUGGAAACUGUAUAGCUUGAGUACUGGAGAGGCAGGCGGAAUUCCUAGUGUAGCGGUGAAAUGCGUAGAUAUUAGGAGGAACACCAGUGGCGAAGGCAGCCUGCCGCAGCGUUACUGACGCUGAAGCUCGAAAGCGCGGGUAUCGAACAGGAUUAGAUACCCUUGUAGUC
rnacentral:rRNA from 1 species